rnacentral:lncRNA from 1 species
CAUGGAAUCCUCACCCGCGGGUUCCCCGUGGCCCCUCCCCAGCGUGGGGGAAACCUCAGCCCGGGGUGACCUUCAGGGCACCCUGAAGUGACCACAAUGACCCCAGCUCAGCCGCGGGAGCUGGGGAUCCCCUGAGGCCUGGUGAGUUCUGGGGGUCCCUGGGCUGGGGUUUUUGGGGGUCCCGGGCCCCCCAUGAGGAAACCCCCACCCGUCUGACCCCCCCGCCGGGCCCAGGACCUGCAAAGGUGGAACCCCCUGGAGCCCCCGGGGGGAAGAGAGGACGAGCGGUCCCAGCGGGGACGGUCUGAGGGGGCCUCGGAGGGGCUGGUUUGGGGUUCUGGGGGGGAUUUUGGGGUGUCCAGGGCACACAAUGACCCCUCCUCUAUUUCCAUUCCAGGAUUCAAUCCCCUUCUGCCCCCCGGGGGUCCCGGAUGGGGUGAGCCCCUUCCCCCGUGGGGCAGAGCCGGGGGGCCCGAGGCCGGCUCGGGACUUCGGGGGGCACGAGGUGACGUCAACCAUCAACACACCUGGAGCCAGGUGCCGCAGGUGUCGGGGGGCUCAGCUCUUGGAUCAUCGAUGCAAAUCAAUUUUUCAUCAAUGCAAAUAAAAAUCGUUAUUUUUGUUAAAAACCUUGAGUUUGUUUUUAUUUGGGGAGGGGGGAACCCCAGAUGGGGUCGGGGUGGGGGGUCCCAUUCCCCUGGAGGGGCUCAGUGUCCCUGCCCGGGGACAAAACCCAGCCCAGGACCCCAAAUUUUGGGUUAAAAAACCCAAUUUUGGAACCUUUGAAGGAUUUUGGUCCUGCCCAGAUCACCCCAAAAUUCCCCAAACAGAGAGAAACGCCCCAAUAUCCCCCCAAACCCGCAAUGCGGCCGUGGAUAUGCAAAUUUAUGUUUAAUUAGGCUAAUCAAGCACUGCGAAAUAAUACUAUUUAAUGAUUAUUUAAUGAUGUAAUUCUUUAAUAAGCGCGGUUAUGCUAAUGAGAUCGGGUAUCGUGUUUUAAGGGGCGUGGCGAAUGCAAAUUAAGGGCUCGAUCAUCCAAUCAGGAGCGGACAGCUGAGGGGCGUGGCUUCAAAACGCCGUGCCGUGAGAGGGGCGGAGUUAUGUAGAUUAAAUAGGCGGUGUUAUGCAAAUCAGAGACGCUGGGACACACCCACAGCCCGCGAAAAUGCAUGACGGGAGCAGAAUUGGGGCAGAAUUCGGGGGUUUCGGGGCUCGGCGCGGGCGGAGCGCGGGAGCGAAGCGCGGAGCGGCUGCGGAAAAGCUCCCGGAGCGGCUCGGGGCAGCUGCGGGGGCGGCGCGGGGGUGACCGUGAGGUGCGGGCGGGCCGAGCGGGGCCGGCUGCGGGGAGCGGAGCGAGCCCGGCAUCGCUUCUCGGCCUUUUGGCUAAGAUCAAGUGUAGUAUCUGUUCUUAUCAGUUUAAUAUCUGAUACGUCCUCGAUGAGAGGACUUCAUAUUAAACGGAUUUUUGGGCUCGGGAGUUGGACCCGGAGCUUGCUCCCUCCGCUCCGCGCAUCGUCCCGGUAUUGCAGUGCCUCCGGGAACGGUGCACCCCGCUCGGGGUCAUUGUAUCGGUUAACGACAGA